GAUGCCAUGAUGAGAUGAGACACCAUAUAUAUAUAUAUAUAUGGUGUGUUUUAGGGCAGUGGAUAGGGCCGUGAGCCUUUUUCAUAAACGACUUCUCCUUCCACUCAGCACA